rnacentral:rRNA from 1 species
AUUGAACGCUGGCGGCAGGCCUAACACAUGCAAGUCGAACGAGUGGCGGACGGGUGAGUAAUGUCUGGGAAACUGCCUGAUGGAGGGGGAUAACUACUGGAAACGGUAGCUAAUACCGCAUACCAUCAGAUGUGCCCAGAUGGGAUUAGCUUGUGGGUGGGGUAAAGGUUCACCAAGGCGACGAUCCCUAGCUGGUGUGAGAGGAGGACCAGCCACACUGGAACGGAGACACGGUCCAGACUCCUCGGGGAGGCAGCAGUGGGGAAUAUUGCACAAUGGGGGCAAGCCUGAUGCAGCCAUGCCGCGGGUAUGAAGAAGUCCUUCGGUUUUUAAAGUACUUUCAGCGAGGAGGCGUUACCCGCAGAAGAAGCACCGGCUAACUCCGUGCCAGCAGCCGCGGUAAUAC